rnacentral:rRNA from 1 species
UACGGAGGGUGCGAGCGUUGUCCGGAAUCACUGGGCGUAAAGGGCGCGUAGGCGGCGCGGUAAGCGUGCGGUGAAAGCCCGGGGCUCAACCCCGGGUCGGCCGUGCGGACUGCCGGGCUCGAGCACUGUAGAGGCGGGUGGAAUUCCGGGUGUAGCGGUGGAAUGCGUAGAGAUCCGGAAGAACACCGGUGGCGAAGGCGGCCCGCUGGGCAGUGGCUGACGCUGAGGCGCGACAGCGUGGGGAGCAAACGGG